CAAGAACAAGAUGGUUGUCAGGAGUAGUGCAGUAUUAUCAUAAGGAGACGUAUUCUUGGAAAACGUAGGAGGAAUGGAGGGGAAAAGAGAGGGAGAGGAGGUCUAAGAGAGAGGGAAGAAGAGGGUGAGCUUGAGUCGGAUAAAAAUGGUGGGAAAAAGUAGAUGGUUUGUUAAAUAGGAAUGAUAGAAAGUGUAAGCAGAGGGAGCUGAAGACAGGAGGAGAAAUGGAAGUGAAUGAGGGUGAAGUAUCGGAGGUGGUAGGUGUGGUGAAGUUAUCGGGACCGAGGUAUGCACCGAGGAUCAGGAGAAAGAUGAGUCUGUGACAGUGGGAGUGAAGUUUAUGGAAAAAGUGGACUCUUGCCUUUUGGCUGAUUCAUUUGUGUUUUCACAGUGGGAGAAAAAAAGAGUUGGAUAAAGUGGAAUCAGUGAGGGUAACCAGAAGGGGUCUAGUGAUAAUUGUUUGUGUUUCUGUUGGUCAGAGGGAGAAGGUGCUCGGAGUAAAACAAAUGGGGGCAAAGAACGUGAAUUGUUUCGCUAUCAAGAAAAGGGCACCAAUGAAAGGAGUGAUAACUGGGGUAGCAGUAAAUAUAAAAGUUGACCAGCUGAGGGGAAAGAUUCCCGGUGUAUGUGAUGCUCGUUGUUUGAUGCAAUGCAGACAGGGUGGCGAGAUUGGGGAAAUGGAAGAGUCAUUGUCUGUUCGUUUUAGUUUUGAAGUUGAGUCUUUGCCCGACAAAGUGAAGUUCGGAGAUAUAAAUGAUCCUGUACGAGCCGAAUACAUUACGAUGUCACAGGUGUCAAGCUUAUGGACAUGUCUAGGAGGGAGGGGCCAAGGUGUGCAGAAGGGCAUGAGACAAAGGAAUGUGUAGUAUUGGGGAAAGUAGUGGAAUGUGUUAAUUAUAGGGGUGCCCAUGGAGCUGGGGAUCAGAAAUGUCCCGUGCGAGAGAGGCAGGUUGAGGUUUCCAGGGUUAGAGUAGUGCAGAAGUUCUGAGGCAGUGAAGAAAGUAGAGGAAGAUGGGUUAAUGGGGAGGAGUGUUGAGACUAGUUGAGCUAUACCAGUACAGAGGGAUAAGCCAAACAGUGGGAUACCUUUCAGUAAGAUUGGAUUUUUAGCAUUUGUAGAAAUUGUUAUCAACUGUACUGCAGGGAUGGAAUGGAAGUCCCAGAAAAUGUAGGUCGUGGUGGCAGCUGCAGAGAGGUAUGUGGGUGUGUGAGACUUGACAUAAGAAGAGUUACAGGGUGUGUUAAGUGGUGAUGUCCCAUCCUUUCAGGAUGAUGGCAUGAGGUAGGAAUAAAUACAUGUAAUUAGUGGAGUAGGGUGGUGUUAACUUGAUUUUAUAUGACUUUGAAAUUGGUGAGUGUAGUGUUCGAAGGUAGGGUGUUUAUUGCUUGAAAAGGGCAAAUGUAUUAAAUAAACACCCUACCUUCGAACACUACACUCACACACUCUAGUAGGUGGCGGUAAUGCAGCAAAUUGGAUGCCAACCGCUGUUAAACCUCAUAGAAGAAGAUAUUUUUACUCCAAAGGAUCAUGGGAACUUCCUUUUCAGAAGAUAGCGAUGUGCUGUCAACGUUUUACGGCUCAUUCCAUUUUGCAGAGAGGUGGAUCGUGGCUUUUUAAUCUUUUGACUACAUUUUUGUUCGUAAGACGCAUCAUUGUAACGUUAAUUGCAUUUAAUUUUUUUCCCUCUAACAUUUUAUUUUGAUUCAGUUGAAUUUAUCCAACUGUAUAGUUGUGAAUUAUCUAGCUAAUUUAGCUGGCUGAGUUGAUAUUACAACGACUCACAGACACGAUUUAUUUUUCAACAUUUUGUGAAAUGUGCUUGGAGAGCAUGGAAACUGAAGUGGAAUUCGAAGUACUGAAACCAUGCUGCUCCAGAAGAUCUGGUAAACUUUCAAAGUGCAGACUGAGGAAACUUCUCCAUUUGAGUUCCGAGGAAGGCCUGAAACGGUGGCGCACCAACCUUGUCAAAGCCACUCUCAAAAAAUACAUUCGUUACGAACAGAAGAGGGUACUCACUAAACUGGUCAACCAAGAACAACUUUUGACCGACAACGGCGAAGAGAUGACGUAUAUGACGACCGAGAAUAUCGGCAGAAUUACACGACCGCUAGGCGCAAUGGCGCCAAAGAACACAACCCAGUAUCUGAUGGACAUUGUAUACGACGACAUGCACAUCGACACCAGUUCCAACCAGUUCAAGUCGCACCCAGUUUCAUUUGUUUCUAGCGCCUCUCUUUCACCCAGGAGCGCGUGUGAAAGUUCUCUUGCCUUUCAACAGAGGGACUUCGACGAAAUGUAUCUCCAUUUUGAAUCAUGUUGAUCAGGCUUGAACCAGUCUGUGGCAGUGCUGACCAAUGCAUUGACUCUAAACCUCGCAAACCAAGCGACGCACCGGACGCUGCCUGUCAGUAGGGGGCGCUCGUUCGCAGCGUCGCUUCCGGUGAAGUUGAGUCCACCGCUAACGUAUCCCAGGUAAACCUGCGUCACCAACAGGUAAACGUGGCAGGUAGUGGAGUCAUCCAGGUUCAAGGUUCUAUGGUGCAAUUUGACUUCAUUUGGUUGCAUUUCAUUGACCUCACUACAGGUGUAGUCUCAGAUAUGGAGUAAUUUGCCUUUGGUCGACUUGGUUGUAUACACAGUACCCAGAUGUGUUCACGGCCAUCUGCUGUAUUUACUCUUGUGCGAGCCUUUUUCAGGUCACUCCUACUUGCCUCCUACCUGACUGCAAUCAGCUCGGCUGUUGCCAGAUCGAUGGACACGUGCGGAUGACUGAGGAAGGAAGUAAGGUUUCAAGUCCACUUCACAUGUAGUGUUGCAGUUCUAAUGUACACUUAAUGGGUAAUACUGACUUGAUUAGCAAUCAUGUUACCAAAUGCAAGUUUGGGUAAUAUUCACUCAUUACAGAUGUUACCCAUAGCAAAUACAUUCAAUCCUUUUUUGAUUACUUAAUGUAAACGUUUGUUUAAAGACAUGUCGCCAAUGACAUCGGUGUAAAUGUGUUGUAUGUGUCUGGACAUGUUGAGAUCCUAACUUCCUAGUUAAAUGCUCUUGUGAAUAAAAGUCUCUCAUAUUG